GUAGGGGUUCUGAGAGGAAGGUCCCCCACAUUGGAACUGAGACACGGUCCAAACUCCUACGGGAGGCAGCAG
rnacentral:rRNA from 1 species